rnacentral:scRNA from 1 species
CUGGCGCAGUUGUUUCCACUGACCCAGCACCA